UACGUAGGGGGCAAGCGUUGUCCGGAAUUACUGGGCGUAAAGCGCACGUAGUCGGCUUUGCAAGUCGGUUGUGAAAUCCCCGGGCUCAACCUGGGAACUGCAUCCGAGACUGCAUUGCUAGAGUAUGGGAGAGGAAAGCGGAAUUUCUGGUGUAGCAGUGAAAUGCGUAGAUAUCAGAAGGAACAUCAGUGGCGAAGGCGGCUUUCUGGACCAAUACUGACGAUCAGGUGCGAAAGCGUGGGGAGCAAACAGG
rnacentral:rRNA from 1 species